rnacentral:rRNA from 1 species
CGAACGAAGGCCCUAGCUUGCUAGGUGUCCUUAGUGGCGCACGGGUGAGUAACACGUGGGAACAUACCUUAUAGUACGGAAUAACUGCGGGAAACUGUAGCUAAUACCGUAUAUUCCAGCAAUGGGAAAGAUUUAUCGCUAUAAGAUUGGCCCGCGCAAGAUUAGCUUGUUGGUGAGGUAAAAGCUCACCAAGGCUUCGAUCUUUAGCUGGUUUGAGAGGAUGAUCAGCCACACUGGGACUGAGACACGGCCCAGACUCCUACGGGAGGCAGCAGUAGGGAAUAUUGGACAAUGGGGGCAACCCUGAUCCAGCAAUGCAGCGUGAGUGACGAAGGCCUUAGGGUUGUAAAACUCUUUCAUCGGUGAGGAUAAUGACAGUAGCCGAAGAAGAAGGACCGG